UUUUGGUCAAGCUACUAAGGGUUUAUGAUGAAUGACUUGGCAGACUCAGGCGAUGAAGGACGUGGUAAGCAGCGAUAUGCUUCGGGGAGCCGCAAACAGGCUUUGAUCCGGAGAUUUCCGAAUGGGGCAACCCACCCUGGUUCAUCCCAGGGGACCCUGUUCCAAAUAAAAUAGGGGCAGGGGGCGAACGAGGCAAACUGAAACAUCUCAGUAGCCUCAGGAAAAGAAACCGUAAGGGAUUCCCCCAGUAGCGGCGAGCGAAAAGGGAAAAGGCUAAACUCCGGCGUUUACGUCGGGGGGUUGCGGGACCUCAACAUGGGACGUGAGAGGAUAGCAGAAAUGCCUGGGAAGGCAUACCACAGAAGGUGAAAGUCCUGUAUGCAAAAUUCUCAAGCGCUCUAGAGGGAUCCCAAGUACUGCGGAGCACGGGAAAUUCUGCAGGAAUCUGGCCCGACCAUGGGCUAAGCCUAAAUACUCGAGUCUGACCGAAAGUGAACCAGUACCGUGAGGGAAAGUCGAAAAGAACCCCGGGAGGGGAGUGAAAUAGAACCUGAAAUCGUAAACCUACAAGCGGUCGAAGGCCUAUGCACAUCGUAAGGUGUGAAUGGCUGACGGCGUACCUUUUGCAUAAUGGACCAACGAGUUACUGCAUGUUGCCAGCUUAACUCCGUUUCGGAGGCAGGCAUAGCGAAAGCGAGUCUGAAUAGGGCGACCAUAGUAACAUGUAGUAGACGCGAAGCCAGGUGAUCUAUCCAUGACCAGGUUGAAGUCCCGAGAAAUCGGGAUGGAGGACCGAACUCAUAAUCGUUGAAAAGAUUAGAGAUGAGUUGUGGAUGGGAGUGAAAGGCUAAUCAAACUUGGUAAUAGCUCGUUCUCCUCGAAAUAGUUCUAGGACUAGCCCCGGAUAAAGUGUAAAGCAGGGGUAGAGUUACUGAAUAGGCUAGGGGGCUUACCAGCCUGCCAAACCUAACCAAACUCCGAAUACUGAUAUGUGUACUCCGGGAGUCAGACCCUGGGGGCUAAGCUUCAGGGUCGAGAGGGAAACAGCCCAGACCAUCGG
rnacentral:rRNA from 1 species